AAUAUUGCACAAUGGGGGAAACCCUGAUGCAGCGACGCCGCGCGAGCGAAGAAGGCCUUCGGGUCGUAAAGCUCUGUCCUAAGGGAAGAAGAAGACGGUACCUUAGGAGGAAGCCCCGGCUAACUACGUUCCAGCAGCCGCGGUAAUACGUAGGGGGCGAGCGUUAUCCGGAAUUACUGGGCGUAAAGGGUGCGCAGGCGGCCAUUUAAGUCAGAUGUGAAAGGCUACGGCUUAACCGUAGUUAGCAUUUGAAACUAGAAGGCUUGAGUGCAGUAGAGGAGAGUGGAAUUCCUAGUGUAGCGGUGAAAUGCGUAGAUAUUAGGAGGAACACCAGUGGCGAAGGCGACUCUCUGGACUGCAACUGACGCUGAGGCACGAAAGCGUGGGUAGCGAACAGG
rnacentral:rRNA from 1 species